CAUUUCCUCUAACCCUACAGCCACCAAAACCCUCCCCCAACAACCAGCAGCAGCAACGCUGCAAUGGAGAAGGAAAACAGAAAACAGAAAAGGGAGAGGGAGUCAGAGUCGCGUGCCAGGGGAAGAGAAGAGGGAGAGGCGAGCCAGCAGCGGUGGGCCUCGCCGUCGCCGCCAAGCUGCUCGCCGUUCGCCACCAACGUCGAAGAAGAGGGAGAUCAAAAUCGGAAGUGAAGAGGGUCGCGUUUCACGCCAUGCAGUCGCGUUGCCCUCACCGCGCCGCGUCGCCCUCACCGCGCCGCGUCGCCGUGCCACCAUCACGCCAUAGAUCUGCUCUGUUCGCGAGCUGAGCCAAGGAAGGAGAGACGAACGCGACGGGGAGGAGUGGGAAAGCCGCACCGACACUGUUGGAGUCUCACCGCCGCCGUCCCCGUGGUGGCUAGUGUCAUCACCGGAGAGAACCACCGGAGUUGCUGUCUGCCUUUGCUGGGGUUCGUCGCCACCGGAGCUUCCCUGGCCGACAGAUGCAGCCGCCGCCCUCCUAGCUGCCGCUGUUGGAGUUGAUGUUGCUCUAGCCUUGCCCUGACUCCAUCUUGAACCGAGAACCGCUACUGUUGGUGAGUUGCAUUGCCACUGCCCUUAACGGAGGUAGUUACUGGCUGCAUUUGGAAAUUUCUGUUGGAACUUGCAUUUGUUCUGGAGCUGUUUCAUCGGUUGCUGGAACUACUAACAGAGCUGGCUGAGUCACGGCGAUUAUGGCUGCCAAGGGCGGUUCUGUGGUUGUCGGAACCACUGCUGAAGCUUCUGUCCUUUGGUUCAGUUAGUAUUCCUUAGUUGCCGAUUAAGUUAUCGGAGCCACAUGUUGCGCGUAAGGGUUGUCCUUGCUGCUGCGAGAGUAAACAAAGCUAUGAUGUAAGCUGCCGGUAAAUUCAGGUUGAUUGAGAGUUCCGGUGACGCUUUUGGAUUAUGAUAUUGCGUUUUGAGGAUAUGGGCGCAGAAGUUACGAAGAGCUUAUUUAAUUGUUGUUGUGAUGCUCUGUAUUGUUUCAGUUAUGGUUUAUUGUACCCUUGCCCUUAUCUUGAUAUAUUCUGUAAGAGGGAUAGGAAUUGUAUUGGUUAAUGUGUGUAAUAUUAUUUAUAUAUAUGUAUGUUAUAUAUGGAUGUACUCUUUAUGAGUUUCUGGAAGUUGUAUGGUAUGUAUGGAUGUACGUUGUAUAGCAAAAGUAUUUUUUUUGGGAGCGGUAUCGCGGUUUAAAGUUUUAAACAGGCUCAUAUUUUAGUAUUAAAUAGUAUAAGUGUCGUCAUAAUGUCCGAGCUAUCAGAGUUGCGCAGCCAGAAGCGUGAGCUUUGGUAGUUAGGGUGUUACAAAAUACAUUUCGUCCUCCAAAUGCUUUAUUCGAAGACACUCUUAGUUUAGCACUGUGGGUUAUUGAAUGGUAUGUGAUAUGGGGAGAAGCCAGACCAGGAGGGAAGACGUCAGAUGUGUUCAAAUUGUGUAAAUGCUUGUUGCUAUUGCAAACAUCAUGAACCUUGUUUUGUUUUAUUUCCUUACUUUUUUUAGUAUCUAGAACAAAUUAGGUUACUAUAUACUAUUUGGAUCAAGUACCAUUUUCUGAAUUCUGAUUAAAGGAGAACCUUAGGCAUGACCUGAAUAUUAAUGUAAAAUACGUUGUAUUUUAUGAUAAUCUAUUAAAUAUUAAGGACUUUGGUAAAAUCUUUUUGUUUUUUUC